UACGUAGGGUGCGAGCGUUGUCCGGAAUUAUUGGGCGUAAAGAGCUUGUAGGCGGUUUGUCGCGUCUGCCGUGAAAAUCCGGGGCUCAACCCCGGACUUGCGGUGGGUACGGGGCAGACUAGAGUGUGGUAGGGGGAGACUGGAAUUCCUGGUGUAGCGGUGAAAUGCGCAGAUAUCAGGAGGAACACCGAUGGCGAAGGCAGGUCUCUGGGCAGUAACUGACGCUGGAGGAGCGAAAGCGUGGGGAGCGAACAGG
rnacentral:rRNA from 1 species